rnacentral:rRNA from 1 species
AUUGAACGCUGGCGGCAUGCCUUACACAUGCAAGUCGAACGGUAACGCGGGGCAACCUGGCGACGAGUGGCGAACGGGUGAGUAAUGCAUCGGAACGUGCCCAGUAGUGGGGGAUAGCCCGGCGAAAGCCGGAUUAAUACCGCAUACGACCUACGGGUGAAAGCGGGGGACCGUAAGGCCUCGCGCUAUUGGAGCGGCCGAUGUCAGAUUAGGUAGUUGGUGGGGUAAAGGCCUACCAAGCCUUCGAUCUGUAGCUGGUCUGAGAGGACGACCAGCCACACUGGGACUGAGACACGGCCCAGACUCCUACGGGAGGCAGCAGUGGGGAAUUUUGGACAAUGGGCGCAAGCCUGAUCCAGCCAUGCCGCGUGAGUGAAGAAGGCCUCGGUUGUAAG